CGACGGGUGAGUAACGCGUGGGUAACCUGCCCCACACAGGGGGACAACAGCUGGAAACGGCUGCUAAUACCGCAUAAGCGCACAAGGGCUGCGUGGCCUGGUGUGAAAAGCUGAGGCGGUGUGGGAUGGACCCGCGUCCGAUUAGGUAGUUGGCAGGGUAGAGGCCUACCAAGCCUGCGAUCGGUAGCCGGCCUGAGAGGGUGGACGGCCACAUUGGGACUGAGACACGGCCCAAACUCCUACGGGAGGCAGCAG
rnacentral:rRNA from 1 species